GACGAACCGAGCGAACGUUGUUCGGAAUCACUGGGCUUAAAGGGCGCGUAGGCGGGCUGUCAAGUCUGGGGUGAAAUCUUUCGGCUCAACCGGAAAACUGCCUUCGAUACUGACAGACUAGAGGGAGGUAGGGGUUGCGGGAACUACCAGUGGAGCGGUGAAAUGCGCAGAUAUCAGGAGGAACACCGGUGGCGAAGGCGGGUCUCUGGGCCGAUACUGACGCUGAGGAGCGAAAGCGUGGGGAGCGAACAGG
rnacentral:rRNA from 1 species